GACCGCUCCGGUUUUCUAGUGGUUAGAGCGUCCGCCUCGGAUGCGAGAGGUUGUGGGUUCGAGUCCCGACCGAGUCA